CCAAAAAAAAAACUUCCCACAUUGAAUGUAUUAACAUCCCCAUUCAUGUUUCACCCUUUAUAUUCACUUCACCCGUUCAAGAAAAUCAUGUUGCCUACCCUUACCCGAUCCACUGUUACCAAUCAGUAAUCUAUACCUUGGGUUAGCAUUCUACCGUGUUUAGAUUUUUGUUGGCGAAGGAUAUAUUGGGAUUCAAGCCAGCAUCCGGCUCAGGAGGAUGAUAUCUUAUCUCUUCUAUGUGAGGAAAAAGAUCCCAAGGAUUUGAUGAUCGAGGCUGAUAUAAAUGAUGAAAAUCUUGAGAAAAUCAUGGAGUGCACCAUUGUUGAACAAAAAUCAAACAUAAAAGUGGUCACUUGCUGAAAGGUCUAAGAUGGGAAGUGGUACAGUCCGCUACAGUUGGACGCAUGCUUAGUUUCAAUGUGUUACUAGGCAAGUUCAACCGCGAAGAAAUGUGCAAUGAAGCCAAUAGUGGUCUGGAGUAACACUAUAUUAUUGGUAGCUGCGAGGAGUUGAUCAGUGCCGAGGUGGGAUGUGUACAGUGCAAUGACUUUGAUAUUAAGAAAGGCCGUAAAACAUUUUAUUAUUAAAGGACAACAAUGGAAAGUACAUAGAAGAGAACCACAAGAAGCAUGAAGAACAGAAAGGUGGAGAAAGUGUGUAGCUGAUGUGACUUUGAGAUUUGUCGCUGUUGUGGAAAACCAUUGAGAAAGCUUUUCUAGGGUAAUAACAAGAUUUUCAAAUAAGGAAACAAAAAUGAUUUACUUCAACUAUUGACAUUGAAGCCCCGGAACAUCUUUAUCAGAGAAAUCCAUGGUUUUGGUGCUUCUCUGUUGGGGGAAGUUUUGGUGUACAUCAAUGAGAAGGGCAGAGAGGAUUUAGUCCAAUGUAGCGUCUCUACAUUGAUGGACGUUCACAGGGUUUUGGUGCUACAUUAUCACUAAGGAUAGAUACAUCUAUAUUAAAAUAUAAAAUCUAUGUAAUACUAAAUUUGUUUGUCAAACAAACGUUCUUCUAUGCAGGUCCUUCCCCGAGUCAUGUAUUUGAAGUCCUAUACGGGGUUUUACAUAGACAAUUAGGUUUCGAGCUAUGUGUUGCAGAUGCAUACUCCCGAGACGGACAAACUAUAUCUCCGGUGAGGUGACAACCGUGAUAAGGCCAAAUAAUCAGGAGAUGUUGGGAUAUUCUGAUAGGAUGCUGAGUGAGGUCAACCAAUAAUUGUGUGUAUUAAAGUCUUCACUGUGGUGGAUUAUGUUGCUGAGGGAAAAUGGGUGCAUCAAGAACGAUAUUGAAGAAGAUAGGUCAACUUACAAUAUGCCUGCACUCUAAAAGUCACAAUGUAAGUGUUUUCCAGGAUGAGUCCUGCUUAGGCAUGGAUUUAGAUACCUUCAGCGUUGGAGUUUGCGGUCUUUUUAAAAUGUAUUAUACUUGGGUUUUUGUUGUUCCCUUGGUCUCAGUCAACUUCCCUACUUAGAUGGUCUUAUUGUAUCUCAGCAUAGUUCAUGUAGAUCAGAUUGUUAUGGGUCCUUGAUUGGGUGGCUUAUGAUCAUGUGGAAACUGCAAUGUGUAAAACUACCAGUAUAUGCCAUGCGACAUUGCUGCAUAUAUAGGUUUAAGCAGUAAUGAAUGAAUUGAAAGUUAUCCAAAAAAGCAGAGAACAAA